UAGUGUUGGGCGAGUCCCUUUUUAUGUCACAUGUUCCAACAGAGUAGCUUGCAGUGAGGUGCGUGAAUUUGAUUACUUAGCAGGCUCUGCGCAAGAUGUAGAUGUUACCGACAUAUAUACUGUUGGUUCAACGAAAGAAUUAUGUAUGCAUUUGCGACUUGAGAGGUUACUCUCUCUUGGAUCUUUAGAUCCUUCAAAUGACCUCUCUGAAGAUGCUUUGGAG
rnacentral:misc_RNA from 1 species